CCUGAGAAACCCAAAAGAUCGAAUGGGGAGAUUCAUCGUCAAUAUGUUUAAUAUUAAUAUAUAUUAUGAUAUAUAAAAAUUUUUUAAUUUUAUAUUAUUAAAUUUUUUAUACAUAUAUAUAUUAUUUUAUUGUUUUACAUUGUCGGCGUGCACUUCUCCCCUAGUAGGACAUCGCGACCCGUUAGAUGUUGGUUUACGACCAAAUUGGGUAGACUUUAUAUAUUAAUUUAUUUUAAUUAUAUAAAGACCAAAUUGUGUUUUCUAACCAAGUAUCUGACGGUAAUCGUAUGGUAUUAAGUCGCAUAAUAAUAUAUUUUUGCGUUCUCUACCCGUCGCAAGCGAGGCCUUUUUUAUUAGUUUACAGACUUUGUGCUGUCUAAUAAAAAUUGUGCCAGCUGUUGGCUGUUUACGGUGUUCUAGAACUGACUUAUUUUUUUUAAAAAAAAAUACCUGUCGGCGAUGCUAUUGCUUUGGGUACUUUCAGG
rnacentral:rRNA from 1 species